rnacentral:lncRNA from 1 species
AGUCAAGUUCAGAGUAAGCUCGAGGUCCAUUUAGCUGGUUAGUAGUGUUGGGUAUAUAUUCCAUAUUCCAUAUUUCCAUUUCCAUAUGCUUUCUGUCAAUAAGUUUCUCUGUAUGCAUCAUCCUCAUACUUGACUUUCUCCAGGGUCUUAUUGAAGGCAUUGUUUUUAGGUGAACUCGGACUUUCUCCAGGGUGAAGAUCCAAGAUUUUCGAUCGAGCAACGACAACGCUUAUGCAUUGUUUCCUUCUUGGGGGCGUUGCUUUUGGAGAACCUCAUUUGUAUUUCGGGUGUUGUCUUCGGUGGUUGGUAGAGUGCUACUGAUGCUAGUGAUACAUCACCGUGGCAGGGUCUUUUUUUCUGUUCCUUCUAUUUUCCUUUUUGGCUGUGUGUAUUCUUGAUGCCUUUGAACAUCUUGUUGGUAUAGAGGCCGGGUGUAAUUGGUAUCUUCGUGAUAUUAAUAUGUUCCUUUUGUCAAAAAAAAUUUAGAUAGGAAGUAAGAAUUAUAUACAAAUAAGCACCACAUAAACGGCAGCCCAAACUUCCCAUUCCGUCAUCGCAACACUAAGUAACUACUCGCUUAAGACUAUCUUUCUCCAUCUUCCUUGACUCAAGGCAAUGCUGGUGAAUUUUAUCGACUACUGAUGUAUGAAGCAGAGAGGUGUUGUUGAACACCCUUGUGCUUCUCUCAAGCACAUGCAUCAUAGCGAGCAGAGGAUCAACCAGUUGACACCUUUUCUCAGCUUGGGAGGGAUGCCCUGCUGAAGAUCAGACCACCAGGUGAGGACGUCUGGUUCGGCAGGAAGAUCCAUCUCAGGAUGUGAGACCAGACCUCACGCGCAAGACCAUCAUUAGGUGCUCGGUCGUUUCCUUAGGUACACAUCUCUCUUUUUUUGGAUAUUUUCUUGGUAGUGAAUUAGUGAUUAAACUUUUUAGAGGAAAGGUAUUUCUGUCCAGAAUUUGGUGAUUAAAAUUGAGCUGUGAACUUGGGAUUGCUCGGAAAUUACAUGCAUGGCAUUGAGAUAUGCACAAAUUUAAUUAGGCUUGUCUUAAUCUACUCUGGCUGGAACUUCACAGUUUGGCAUACAUGUACAUACAUAACUGACCGAUCAAGCACACGAUUUUUUAAAAAGAAGGAUUACCCCCGGUUUCUGCAUUAAAAUGAUGCAUGCAUCCAUAUUAUUAUACGAAGUAGCCAUCAAAUACAUAGUUCGAUACAAAUUGGCAAAACGAGUUAAAAUAAAAUAAAAAUUGCCACAACACCGAUUAAGCACACUUUAAGGACCGAUUAAGCACACAUGACUUGCAUACUUCUUUAUUUCUCCAUAUUCAUUUAUUCGUGAGCCAGCAUGUAUGUAUGCAGGCCACAGCAAGCCAGCAAGAGCUAUCCACCUAUCCAACGUGGGGGGUCUCGGCGACGGUGCCCACGAAGAUGCGGACACGGUUGGGCCUCAAGUCCUCGGUCACGGCGGAGCCGACCGGCACCAUGACAAUGUCGGCGUCGGGCUUGUCCUUCAGGAUGAUCUCCUUGGCCUCCUUGAUGGUCAGCCCCACCACCUCCGGCGACGAAGUCUUCUUUCCACCGGCGAGGUCGUCGGAGGAACUCAUCUUCGUAGCACUGGUUGAUAAUUUGAGAUCGAUCGAUCAAUCAGAGAUAGCUUAAUUGAGGCGGAGUGAGGUAUUUCAGCAACAAACUAAACAAGAAGAUCAGUUGAGGCACAUCUAGUUGCUACUCACCGAUUGAUGGACGGUCUUCUCCGAGCUGAUGGACGUACGGCCGAUGAUAUUCGAUGAUUGACCGGCUAGCAAAAGUUGCGCUGUGCGUGAGACUUGAUUUGCAUAACACAUUGGUCGAGUGAUGUAAUAUAGUAGAGAGAUUACGAGUAGGUAGCAGCUUCAUUUUCCACCCAUGGUACCUUCUAGUAGAGCAUCUCCAACAGCCGCGGAACACGUGGCGCGCUAAAAAAUAGUUUGCGGCGCGCCCAUCGUCAGGUUUGGCGCGGCGCGCAGCGCUGGCUCCAGCAGCCGCGCUAAAAUACAGCGCGCGCGCAGCUCCUGUAGCUCCGCAC